rnacentral:rRNA from 1 species
CUGCGCGUAGUUUAAAUUCAAGUGUCAUAAGUGCAUCUCGUGGAUGCCUUGGCGAUCAGAGGCGAUGAAGGACGUGGUACGCUGCGAUAAGCUACGGCGAGGUGCGAACAACCUUUGACCCGUAGAUCUCCGAAUGGGGAAACCCACUCUUUUAGAGUAUCUUGUACUGAAUACAUAGGUGCAAGAGGCAAACCUGGGGAAUUGAAACAUCUUAGUACCCAGAGGAAAGGAAAUCAACCGAGACUCCGUUAGUAGUGGCGAGCGAACGCGGACCANCCCAGUGGCUGUGUUGUAACAAUUAGAAGUGGAUGGAAAGCCACGCCAUAGAAGGUGAUAGCCCUGUAUAAGUAAAAAGCGACAUAGUCCUUGAGUAAGGCGGAACACGUGAAAUUCUGUCUGAACAUGGGGGGCCNAUCCUCCAAGGCUAAGUACUCCUGAUCGACCGAUAGCGAACAAGUACCGUGAGGGAAAGGUGAAAAGAACCCCGAUGAGGGGAGUGAAACAGACCUGAAACGGGAUGCAUACAAGCAGUCGGAGCACCUAUACGGUGUGACGGCGUACCUUUUGUAUAAUGGGUCAGCGAGUUACUCUUACAUGCAAGCUUAAGCCGAUAGGUGUAGGCGCAGCGAAAGCGAGUCUGAAUAGGGCGCCNNAGUANGUNGGANUAGACCCGAAACCCGGUGAUCUAGNCAUGGCCAGGUUGAAGGUUNGGUAACACNAACUGGAGGACCGAACCCACNUNNGUUGAAAAANGAUNGGGAUGAGCUGUGNCUAGGGGUGAAAGGCCAAUCAAACCGGGNNAUAGCUGGUUCUCCGCGAAANCUAUUNAGGUAGNGCNUCNNGUNAUUACNCUCGGGGGUAGAGCACUGGAUGGNCUAGGGGGGCGCGAGCCUUACCAAANCUAACCAAACUCCGAAUACCGAGNAGUACANNCAUGGNAGACANACUGCGGGUGNUAAGGUCCGUAGUNGAAAGGGAAACAGCCCNGACCNCCAGCUAAGGUCCCCAAAUGAUAACUAAGUGGAAAAGCAAGUUGGAUUUCCAUGACAACCAGGAGGUUGGCUUAGAAGCAGCCAUCCUUUAAAGAAAGCGUAAUAGCUCACUGGUCUAAAUAAGAAAUCCGGCGGCGAAGAUGUAUCGGGUCUUAAGUUAUCUACCGAAGCUGAGGAUGCACACUUUUGUGUGCGUGGUAGCGGAGCGUUGUGUAAGUCUGUGAAGGGUAACCGCGAGGUUGCCUGGAGAUAUCACAAGUGAGAAUGCUGACAUGAGUAGCGACAAAGAGUGUGAGAAACACUCUCGCCGAAAUCCCAAGGGUUCCUGUCCAAGGCUAAUCCGGGCAGGGUAAGUCGGCCCCUAAGGCGAGGCAGAAAUGCGUAGUCGAUGGGAAUCAGGUUAAUAUUCCUGAACCUGUUGGUGGUGACGGUGGCCGUAAGUUGUACUUCCUUAUUGGAUUGGAAGUGCCGCGAAGGACAUCCAGGAAAUAGCCCCAACAUUAAGACCGUACCCGAAACCGACACAGGUGGGAUGGUAGAGAAUACCAAGGCGCUUGAGAGAACUAUCUUGAAGGAACUCGGCAAAUUGCAUCCGUAACUUCGGGAGAAGGAUGCCCACCAUGAAGGCAACUUUAUGGUGGGGGCACAGACCAGGGGGUGGCGACUGUUUAUCAAAAACACAGGGCUCUGCGAAGUCGCAAGACGACGUAUAGGGUCUGACGCCUGCCCGGUGCCGGAAGGUUAAGAGGAGGUGUGCAAGCACUGAAUUGAAGCCCCGGUAAACGGCGGCCGUAACUAUAACGGUCCUAAGGUAGCGAAAUUCCUUGUCGGGUAAGUUCCGACCUGCACGAAUGGCGUAACGACUUCCCCACUGUCUCCAA